CUUCUUCGAUUUGUUGCGGACAGAUAAAGUGGAUAUGUGAAUCAAUGCCCCCAGCGGUAAGGAUUGAGCCUUCUCCUGCCAACACUUCGGUUCCGGGGCCAACAAUAAUAUCGACACCGGGUUGAAUAUCGGGAUUCCCCGCUUUACCAAUCGCUGCGAUACGGCCGUUUUUCACCGCCACAUCGGCUUUAACGAUUCCCCAAUAGUCGAGGAUCAGCGCGUUUGUGAUAACGAGAUCUGGCGUUUGACUGCUAGGCAAUUGACUUUGCCCCAUGCCAUCACGAAUG
rfam:Vibrio shilonii AK1 1103207001844, whole genome shotgun sequence.